rnacentral:rRNA from 1 species
AAUGAACGCUGGCGGCGUGCUUAACACAUGCAAGUCGCACGAGAACUCUUUAAGCUUGCUUAAAGAUAGUAAAGUGGCGCACGGGUGAGUAACGCGUGGGUAAUCUACCUCUGAAUUGGGGAUAACAUUGUGAAAGCGAUGCUAAUACCGAAUAAUAUCCCGAGAUCUUAGGCUUUUGGGAUCAAAGGUGGCCUCUACAUGUAAGCUACUGUUUGGAGAUGAGCCCACGUACCAUUAGCUUGUUGGUAGGGUAAUGGCCUACCAAGGCAACGAUGGUUAGCUGGUCUGAGAGGAUGAUCAGCCACACUGGAACUGACACACGGUCCAGACUCCUACGGGAGGCAGCAGUGAGGAAUUUUGCGCAAUGGGGGAAACCCUGACGCAGCAACGCCGCGUGAGUGAUGAAGGCUUUCGAGUCGUAAAGCUCUGUCAAGUGAGAAGAACCUAUCCCGCGCCAAUAUCGCGGGAUACUGACGGUAUCACUGAAGGAAGCACCGGCUAACUCCGUGCCAGCAGCCGCGGUAAUACGGAGGGUGCAAGCGUUAUUCGGAAUUAUUGGGCGUAAAGGGCGCGUAGGCGGUCUUUUAAGUCAGAUGUGAAAGCCCGGGGCUCAACCCCGGAAGUGCAUUUGAAACUAAGGGACUUGAGUAUGGGAGAGGGAAGUGGAAUUCCUGGUGUAGAGGUGAAAUUCGUAGAUAUCAGGAGGAACACCGGUGGCGAAGGCGACUUCCUGGACCAAUACUGACGCUGAGGCGCGAAGGCGUGGGGAGCAAACAGGAUUAGGUACCCUGGUAGUCCACGCCCUAAACGAUGAAUGUUAGUCGUCGGGUAGCUAGUCUAUUCGGUGAUGCAGCUAACGCAUUAAACAUUCCGCCUGGGGAGUACGGUCGCAAGAUUAAAACUCAAAGGAAUAGACGGGGACCCGCACAAGUGGUGGAGCAUGUGGUUUAAUUCGAAGAUACGCGAAGAACCUUACCUAGCCUUGACAUAUAUUAGAACACUUUAGAGAUAGAGUGGUGCCUUCGGGAGCUUUUAUACAGGUGCUGCACGGCUGUCGUCAGCUCGUGUCGUGAGAUGUUGGGUUAAGUCCCGCAACGAGCGCAACCCUCGUCACUAGUUACUAACGGUUCGGCCGAGGACUCUAGUGAGACUGCCUUCGUAAGGAGGAGGAAGGUGAGGACGACGUCAAGUCAUCAUGGCCCUUACGGCUAGGGCAACACACGUGCUACAAUGGCCAGGACAAUGAGAAGCGAUACCGCGAGGUGGAGCAAAUCUAUAAACCUGGUCUCAGUUCGGAUUGUAGUCUGCAACUCGACUACAUGAAGCUGGAAUCACUAGUAAUCGUAGAUCAGCUAUGCUACGGUGAAUACGUUCCCGGGUCUUGUACUCACCGCCCGUCACACCAUGGGAGUUGAUUUCACCCGAAGCGGGGAAGCUAAACUGGCUACCCUCCACGGUGGAAUUGGCGACUGGGGUG